CGCAGCCUGAUGCAGCACGCCGCGUGCGGGAAGACAGCCCUAGGGUUGUAAACCAGCUUUCAGUAGGGAAGAAAAUGACGGUACCUACAGAAGAAGGUGCGGCCAACUACGUGCCAGCAGCCGCGGUGACACGUAGGCACCAAGCGUUAUCCGGAUUUAUUGGGCGUAAAGAGCUCGUAGGCGGUUUGGUAAGUCGGGUGUGAAAACUCAGGGCUUAACCCUGAGACGCCACCCGAUACUGCCAUGACUUGAGUACGGUAGGGGAGCGGGGAACUCCUGUGUAGCGGUGAAAUGCGCAGAUAUCAGGAAGAACACCGGUGGCGAAGGCGCCGCUCUGGGCCGUAACUGACGCUGAGGAGCGAAAGCGUGGGUAGCAAACAGGAUUAGAUACCCUGGUAGUCCACGCCGUAAACGUUGGGCACUAGGUGUGGGUCUCAACUAACGAGAUCCGCGCCGUAGCUAACGCAUUAAGUGCCCCGCCUGGGGAGUACGGUCGCAAGACUAAAACUCGAGGAAAUUUGGAGGG
rnacentral:rRNA from 1 species